rnacentral:tRNA from 1 species
GGGCCUGUAGCUCAGCGGUAGAGCAGCCCCCUCAUAAGGGGUUGGCCCUUGGUUCGAUCCCAAGCGGGCCCA